UUGAUUUUAUUUGGUCAGCCACAACAGUUUUUUGACGAGCCUUCAAGCGAAGACGAUCUCAAGUUUUAAGCGCGAGCAAGUGUCGUAUACGGUUUGGCUAAGAAAAGCUGCACGAGUACUAGAAAUCUAAUACAAAAACAAUCCUUGAAAUCAUGAAGACUUCAAUCCUGUUGUUCGCUGCCGCAGUUGUGGCCACACUCUCAUUCAUUGGCAGCGUCGAUGCACAACGCGGUUUGCCGCUACCACAGGCGCGCGGCUACGAAGCCAACGCCGUUAUUCUGAAGCAGGGCUUCGAUCUGAAUCCCGAUGGCUCGUACACAUACAACUAUGAGACAAGUAACGGCAUACGCGCUGACGAGGCGGGCUACUUGAAGAAUCCGGGUACACAAGUGGAGGCGCAGGUGAUGCAAGGCUCUUACUCGUACACCGGUCCCGACGGCGUCGUCUACACAAUCAAUUACAUCGCCGAUGAGAACGGUUAUCGCGCUGAGGGCGCACACAUACCAACACCACCACCACCACGCGCUGGUGGCAGGUUCUUCAAAUAAGUUCACAAAGCACGAAGAACCAAUCCUUAACUUAAUAACAUCAUUACUUACAUACAUACGUACGAGUUCAUACAACCUUAAAACACACCUAACUUAAAACCGGAAGCAACAACACAACGUACAUGAAUAACGAAGAAGAAGAAAGACGCAAAGAAAUGCAGCAACUACACUAAAAAAACGGCAAACAGUGGCAACACCGAGCAGCAGAGCUUAGCUAUGGACGAGGCUACUGAUGAGCUUAGACCUACAUAUCUAUAUACAACUUAUAUGGUGUAUGAGGACUGUGGCCUGUUACUGUUGUUGAGAUCUACUGAAGUGACCUCGUGUGCAGAACCUUUCUUAUGACCACACACACACUUUCUUUCUAGAAACAAGCACGCACAGCUAUAUUCUUAUUCGUUUAACUUCUAACACUUUUUUAUACUUUUAUCUAACAAAUUAAUCGAAAAUUUAUCGAUAAUUAAUCUAUUUCUAUCUAACUUAUUAAUCGAUAAGUUAAUCGCUAACAUGGUUUGUGAUUUCGUAAACUCCUAUUUAAACUUUUCUAACCUCACUUUCGCACUCUCAACUUAUUCCUUAUGUCCACAUUCCGUCCUUUCGCGCGGUACCAACUACCGAUGCGGCGGCGUGUGUUGGCAAUAUCCACGUAGUUUCCACUUAACCCUUAAACGCCAGCUCACACCGUUCCGUGAAGACAGUUAGAAUACCUACUCAUGUACCUUAUCUCCAGAAACAUACAUACAUACAUAACGAUUAUAUGUUUGGUAAUUUAAAAUGCUAUUUUAUAUAUAUAUUUUUUUGUUGUAGUAUUUAAGCAAUUUAUGUAUUUUGAAUAUUUACGAAUAUUUGCUAAAAACGUGAGUGAUUACAACGAAUUUUCGAUUUCUUGUAAGUACAGCAAUCAGGCAAUAAAUAAAUUGCGUAAAAACUCA
rnacentral:misc_RNA from 1 species